ensembl:lncRNA
GUCAACGGGAUAAAGGGUAGCAACAAUAAUUUAAGGGUAAAAAUAAUCCUACAAUGGCAAAGAGGACAUGUGCAGGUUUGUUGACACUGUCCCUCAUCUUCUGGCAGGCAGCAAUGUAGUGCUCUGCCAACCCACAGCUCUCUGUGUCCUCCCCCAACAGGACAGGUAGCCUAUCCUCAUCAGAGAGGUCUUCAAUGUAGUGCACUGCCAACCCACAGCUCUCUGUGUCCUCAUCAGAGAGGUCUUCAAUGUAGUGCUCUGCCAACCCACAGCUCUCUGUGUCCUCCCCCAACAGGACAGGUAGCCUAUCCUCAUCAGAGAGGUCUUCAAUGUAGUGCUCUGCCAACCCACAGCUCUCUGUGUCCUCCCCCAACAGGACAGGUAGCCUAUCCUCAUCAGAGAGGUCUUCAAUGUAGUGCUCUGCCAACCCACAGCUCUCUGUGUCCUCCCCCAACAGGACAGGUAGCCUAUCC